UCGGAUUGCAGUCUGCAACUCGACUGCAUGAAGCUGGAAUCGCUAGUAAUCGCGGAUCAGAAUGCCGCGGUGAAUACGUUCCCGGGUCUUGUACACACCGCCCGUCACACCAUGGGAGUCAGUAACGCCCGAAGUCAGUGACCGAACCGAGAGGACGGAGCUGCCGAAGGCGGGACGGAUAACUGGGGUGAAGUCGUAACAAGGUACC
rnacentral:rRNA from 1 species